AUUGAACGCUGGCGGCAGGCCUAAGACAUGCAAGUCGAGCGAGAGGCGGACGGGUGAGUAAUGUAUGGGGAAUGGCUGAUAGAGGGGGAUCACUACUGGAAACGGUAGCUAAUACCGCAUACUAUCGGAUAACCCCUAUAGGAGUGGCUAGUAGGUGAGGUACUGGCUCACCUAGGCGACGAUCCCUAGCUGGUCUGAGAGGAUGAUCAGCCACACUGGGACUGAGACACGGCCCAGACUCCUACGGAGGCAGCAGUGGGGAAUAGUGCACAAUGGGCGCAAGCCUGAUGCAGCCAUGCCGCGUGUAUGAAGAAGGCCCUAGGGUUGUAAAGUACUUUCAGUCGGGAGGCGUUACCGACAGAAGAAGCACCGGCUAACUCCGUGCCAGCAGCCGCGGUAAUAC
rnacentral:rRNA from 1 species